ensembl:lncRNA
AAGAGAACAUUUUGGUGUUUAUAGCUGCUAUAACAUAAGUGAGAUCAGGAACGAACUUGUUUCAUGGACGUUCUACAACAUUAAAUGUAGCUAUAAAUGGAUAAAAAAAAUAAACAUUCGGCAAAUUGCUGAGGAAUGAAACAUGCCGGGACAUGACUCUGGACGACACCGUCUUGUCGUUGAUUAUUUCCCUAUUCCAGCAUGUCCCGAAGGGUUUUAUUAUCGUGGAGAAUGUGGAAUUGGUCAGCCUCCCGGGUCAGCAUGCUAGGUAUGUUCAGAAGAACGCAAACAAGAAGUGCGUAUGUGUGUCAGUUCACAUACCGGCAGAUCACAAGAGAGCUGAACAUAAACGCUGCUGAAGUGUCUCCUCUCUCAGAACCAGUCCUGGGAGAGGGAGAGAGGGAGAGAGAGAGAGAGAGAGAGAGAGAGAUGUCAGUUUUACGCACUUUUAUUACUUAAUAUGAGGGACAGAAACCUCUUUUGAGCUGUAUAGUAUGACAUAACACCUACAUAACCCCUUCAUAUCAUCUCUCAUACCUAUAUGGAAAUAGUUCUUUGCUUGUAAAGAUGUUGACAAGGCAGCGAAGACAAGUGACAGAUUUUUUGAAAACAAAAUUAUUUGAAUCCUCAUGAUACUCAUGUUAUAACAGUCACAUCAGACGUAUAUACAUUUUACAUACAUACACACAUAUAUAUAUAUAUAUACAUAUAUAUAUAUAUAUAUAUCAGUGUUAUGAUACUGUCAUAAUAGAGUUAUACAUGUGUAGAUUUUCUCGGCGUGAAUUUUUUUUAGUUUUUAGAUUUAGAUUUUUAUUAUGAAGUUUUUUUUGUAAUACUUAUCAAUGCGAUGACGCUGUCAUGGCAUUUAUUCAUACAGUCUCUGUUUUUUUUAAAUUUUCAUUAUUCAGGUUUUUGUUAUUAAACGCUUAUGUCAGUUCUGUGACACGAUACGACACGGCUGCACAUAUGUCCUUUGUGUAUUCAGAUGGACAUUUCUAUAUAAUAUUUUAAAAUCUUUAAGUCGCUGCUACGUCUACGACACCGCCGUGGCAGAGUUAUGUAUAUUCUUCUGGCUUUUAAGUAGAGUGUGCUUAAUUUUAUUGUUUAUAAGAUUGUUAUGAAUUAUGACUGUUGUAAUAUAUUAUCUUUGGCCCUUUAUUAAAGUUAGUUGCAUUUUAAUACAUAUAAACGUUUUCGGAAUACUCAUGACAACAUAACGACCAGGUAAUAACAGUGUUAUGUAUGUGUUAUUACCCUAAAGUAGAGUUUGGUUUUAUUUAUUUGUUUUUUAUUUAUUUAUUUAUUUAUUUUUUACUAGAAUGUGACUCUGUCGGAUGUUAUGCCGUUCUAAUGUCAGAUGUUAUGCCGUUCUGAUGUUAUAACACAAGAUGUUAUAACACAACCUUAUGUCACAUCAUGAAUCAGGAGUAAUGGCUACAUGGGAUGAAAACUGGUAAAAGCAUUCUAUAUGACAGCUGUUGGAUUAAUGCCUUGUAAAUGUUAUGUAGGUUGAUGUCAUGGGUGUCAUGAAGGGCUUACGUCUGUGUUAUGUAGCCUCAUGAGCAUUAAUGAAAUUCCUCAUUCACAGCAUGAAAGAGUCUAUUUAUUAUAUCGUAUAAUAAAUGAUAUAUUACAUCAUAUAUCUGCUAUGAUUAAUUCGUGUUCAUUAACAUGGGUGGAUACGGUUGGAUGUCAUGUGUGUCUGCGGUUGCAGCUCUGUCAGGUUGGACGUGUUGCGAUGAUGCAAUGUUUGUAUGAUUGUCAACGUGCUUGCUUUUGGCCCCGUGCCAGGGCCCCGAGCCAGCCGUUCUCGCCUCCCUUCCCUUUACACCCCCCUCCCCGAUGCCCCAGGCCAUAUGCUUGGAGUUAUU